rnacentral:rRNA from 1 species
AUGUGAUCGUCUCUCGCAUAUCAAUAAGCGGAGGAAAAGAAACUAACAAGGAUUCCCCUAGUAACGGCGAGUGAAGCGGGAAGAGCUCAAAUUUGAAAUCUUAAAGGGUUUCCCUUUACGAAUUGUAGUUUAAAGAAGUGUUUUCUGUUGAGGUUUUGGUAAAAGUUCUUUGGAAUAGGACAUCAUAGAGGGUGAGAAUCCCGUAUUUGACCUUUACUUUCAACUUUGUGAUACACUUUCAAAGAGUCGGAUUGUUUGGGAAUGCAGUCCAAAAUGGGUGGUAAAUUUCAUCUAAAGCUAAAUAUUGGCGAGAGACCGAUAGCGAACAAGUACCGUGAGGGAAAGAUGAAAAGAACUUUGAAAAGAGAGUUAAACAGUACGUGAAAUUGUCAAAAGGGAAGCGUUUGACACCAGUGUUGUUUUUCUAGAAAAUCAAUUAAAGAACUGUCUAUGCUAAGCUGUUUAGACUUUAUCAGCUAUCUGUUUAGUUUUGAGCUUUUCUUUAAUGCACUUUUCAGUUAACAAGUCAACAUCAAUUUCUUUUGCUGUAAAAAAGCUUGAGGAAGGUGGCUUGAGAUUCGUCUUAAGUGUUUAUAGCCUCUUGCCUAUGCAGUCGGAGAGAUUGAGGUCUGCAGCGUAGAUCCUUCGGGGCUAAAUGCAUUUGUGCUAAGUUAUAGCAUUUUAUAGACUAACUUGUUGACUAUGAUUUGUCUUGUAGCUUACUCGCUUAUGUUAUUUUACCUACGCUUAGGAUGUUGAGCGCAUGUCUCUCUCU